AGACACAGUUGACGCAAGUGCAAUCGAAUCAAUUAUAGGAUGGAGUUUUAUUUGUCACAUUUGGGAAGCGCUAGCAUUGAAGCAAUUAUGUUGGUGGUGUUUCUAGACAAUCCCAUUUCUAUCAUCCUCACCCUUCUUCUUCUCAUCUUCUUCUUACGCUUUGCCCUCGUUUUCUUCUUUCUCCUUUUCCUCUUCUUUCUCUGCGCCAACCUUGUUCACCUUAUUGUCGACCUUUUCUCCUACUGAUUCUCACUCCUUUUAUUCCCCCCCAAAACGGAGAUGCGGUGGUGACAGACUGACAGGGUCAACCCUCGCGUGUUUUGAUCCAUCGAUGUUAAGAAAAACAGAAGUUGCUUCUCUCUCCCGUAAACGUGGAUUAAUUUCUGGAAUGGUGAAUUACGAUAGCAGGAAGAUUUUAACGGUCUCGGGGUAAAAAAUUUCAGAGCAUGACUUUUACGUACCAUCCUUCAUGUAAAUUUUGUCCUAUAUUCUAGCUGUGCACCUUAAAUAUCUUCUGAUGGCCAUAGCCUCCAGAAAAAUCCUCAUAUGUUUAUAAUUAUUUGAAGAAUUUUAUCCUUGUGCAUUCUCCUUCCCCUUCCCCACUCUCCCAAAAAGUAAAAAGAAAACCAAAUGGGAUGGACUGCAACUGGAUUGAAAGUAUGCUGGUGAUGUUAUCAUUAUAAUUUUUAUCUAAUAAUCCAUACAUACAUCAAGUAUUUGACAGGAAGUAGGAAUCGUGUAAAACCUCUGUUUUGGCUUCUAGAAAGAAUCUGGUGUUAAAAAAAGGUCUUAGUAUUUCCUAAUAAAUGUGUUUGUUGAUGUUGAUUUUGGGUAGACUAGCCUUCUGCCUUCUAUUCAAACUUUAACAUAAAAGUACUUUAAUUUUGACAAGAUGAGGCCUUUUUUAAACGGGUUUGCACUUUAUAGUCUACAUCACUUAGUACCGUCUGACAUGGCAGUAUGGCACCACCACAAACUACCAUAUAGGAUUCAUGCGAGAUUUUAGGGCAUCCACUUGGUCACAAAAAGAAAGCAAGAUCGUUGAUGGUUGUAAUAGUAAAAUAUCGAAGGCAGUUUGGGUAUUUUUGGAGUUUGUGAUACUGCAUUGACAAUGGUGGCUGCUUAUAAUUAGAGUGGACAUAUUAUAUCACUGCUAAAGGAAUUUUAAACAGUUUGCAGGAGGUGCUCUGUGGUUUAUAUUUCACAGUUCACAUUAUUGAUGAUGGUGGACUUUAAAGUGGUUCUUUGCACUGUAUCACUAUUUCCCCUAAAGGGUUGAAGUUAUGGAUUGAAAUAAAACAAUUUUUUUUCUUCUGUCCGAGCCUCAAAUUGCCUAAAAUUUGUUUGUUCUGCUCCUGUCUGGUGUUUUAAAUGACAUGGUCACGUGGAGAAUUAUAAUCGUAUAAAGGUGGAUCAAUGGUGAUAAAAGAAGAGAAAGAAAAAAAUAUUGAAAUAAUUUAUUACAAAAUUAUAAUCGUGAUUCAUCUUUGUAUGAUUGUGGUCUUUCCACGUGACCAUAAGAUCUAUUUCGGUUUUAAAUAGUGAAUUCAGGGUUUUUGAAGCUGUUUACCAGCUCUUUGCCUUGGUUGAUAAAAUAUGGAGUAACCUGGAGGACUUGGGGUUAAAUAAAGCCAAAGUACUUUCUGUGCAUUUACUGAAAAUAGAAGAUCAUUGACAACUAGGUGAAGGGAGGUUUUUAGGUUGAGAUGGAUCAAACACUCGAAAUGCGAUUCACUUCAUAAUUUCUUAUGAAUUUCGUCUUCCAUCUGAUUUCUUCAAUGCUUUUACAUUGCUGCAGCGGAUUACGUACGUACUUGGGCAUCCAGGUAAAAAGAAAAAGAGCAUCAGUUUGUGAUAUUUCAAGUACAACUAGUUACUAGUGUGUCAGUGUGUGUUUGUAAUGAUUGCUUUUUUAAUGCUUCCUCCUUCGUGACUUUUCAAAAGGAUUUACUACUUACUACUCUGCCUUCCUCCCAAUACAGUAAUAUGCAACUUCGUACUUCCUAGAGUGUA